UACGUAGGGCGCAAGCGUUGUCCGGAUUUAUUGGGCCUAAAGCAUCCGUAGCCUGUUCUGUAAGUUUUCGGUUAAAUCCAUAAGCUCAACUUAUGGGCUGCCGAAAAUACUGCAGAACUAGGGAGUGGGAGAGGUAGACGGUACUCAGUAGGAAGGGGUAAAAUCCUUUGAUCUAUUGAUGACCACCUGUGGCGAAGGCGGUCUACCAGAACACGUUCGACGGUGAGGGAUGAAAGCUGGGGGAGCAAACCGG
rnacentral:rRNA from 1 species